GGGGGUAUAGCUCAGUGGUAGAGUACAUGCUUGUCAUGCACGAGGUCCCAGGUUCAAUCCCCCGUGCCGCCA
rnacentral:tRNA from 1 species